ACCUGGCUGGCUCAGUCAGAAGAGUGUAUGACUCUUGAACUCAAGAUUGUGGGUUUGAGCCCCAUGUUGGGUA
rnacentral:tRNA from 1 species